GGCUCCGUAGCUCAGCCGGACAGAGCAACGGUUUCCUAAACCGCAGGUCGGGGGUUCGAGUCCCUCCGGGGCCACCA
rnacentral:tRNA from 2 species